GGAGAAGUUACUAAGGGCUAUUGGUGGAUGCCUUGGCGUCAAAUGCCGAUGAAGGACGUGGGUCACUGCGAUAAGCCUCGACGAGCCGUGAACAGGCGAUAUCAGUCGGGGAUUUCCGAAUGAGGAAACUCACCGUUGCGAACCAACGGUAUCACUAGCUGAACACAUAGGCUAGUAGAAGGGAACCUGGGGAACUGAAACAUCUAAGUACCCAGAGGAAAAGAGAUUAUUCCCAAAGUAGUGGCGAGCGAAAUGGGAGAAGCCCAAACCAGUAUGGCUUGCUGUACUGGGGUUGUAGGAUCUGCUAUUGUGAAGUUACCAAAUGAUUUGUUAGUAAAAUGGUGUGGGAAAGCCUACCAAAGAGGGUAAUAGUCCCGUAUGCGAAAACAAAUCAUCUUCCAGCAGACACCUGAGUACUGCCGGGCACGCUAAUCCGGCAGGAAGCUGGGGAGUCCACUCCCCAAGGCUAAAUACAUUUGACGACCGAUAGUGAACAAGUACCGUGAGGGAAAGGUGAAAAGUACCCCGUUGAGGGGAGUGAAAUAGAACCUGAAACCAAUAGCCUACAAGCAGUCGAAGGGCUAAUGGCUGGUCCGUGUCCCGAUGAAAGUCGGUGCCGCGCAGCUAUGCCUGACGGCGUGCCUCUUGGAGAAUGAGCAUGCGAGUUAAUUUUUGUAGCGAGGUUAAGGGAGUGACACCCGUAGCCGUAGGGAAACCGAGUCUGAAUAGGGCGUUUAGUUGCAGGAAUUAGACACGAAACCGGGUGAGCUAACCAUGGCCAGGGUGAAACGAGUUUAAACGCUCGUGGAGGCCCGAACCUACUAAUGUUGCAAAAUUAGGGGAUGAGCUGUGGUUAGAGGUGAUAUGCCAAACGAACUCGGAGAUAGCUUGUUCUCCCCGAAAUAGCUUUAGGGCUAGCGUCAUAUGUUUAGUACCGGAGGUAGAGCACUGAAUGGGCUAGGGGGCUUAGAGCUUACCGAACUCAAUCAAACUCCGAAUGCCGGUACUCCAAAGUAUGGCAGUCGGACUACGGGUGAUGAGAUCCGUGGUCAAAAGGGAAAGAGCCCAGAUCAUCGGCUAAGGUCCCCAAAUCUAUACUAAGUGGGAAACGAUGUGGAGUUACUCAAACAACCAGGAGGUUGGCUUAGAAGCAGCCAUCCUUUAAAGAAAGCGUAACAGCUCACUGGUCAAGUGAUUCUGCGCGGAAAAUGUAACGGGGCUAAGUAUAGUACCGAAGCCAUGGGAUUCAACGUAUGUUGGAUCGGUAGGGGAGCGUUCUGUCAGCGGUGAAGGUCGAUCGUGAGGACGGCUGGAGCGGACAGAAGUGAGAAUGCAUGCAUAAGUAGCGUAAAACACGUGAGAACCGUGUUCACCGUAAAUCUAAGGUUUCCGACGCCAGGUCAAUCCGCGUCGGGUUAGUCGAGACCUUAGCCGAGGCCGGAAGGCGUAGGCGAUGGAUAUCCGGUCAACAUUCCGGAACUACUUGAAGGGAGCGAUGGGGGGACGGAGCGAGGUAGGCCAGCCUGCGAUUGGUUGUGCAGGUGUAUGUAGUGUCAGACGUUGAGGUUUGUAGGAAAAUCCGCAGACUGAGUUGAGACUAUGUAGCGAGCCAUAUAGGCAUAAGUGAGUUGAGCCUUGCUUCCCAGAAAAGCCUCUAAGUGAUGAACUUCAAGUACUCGUACCGCAAACCGACACAGGUAGAUGGGUAGAGUAUACCAAGGUGAACGGGAGAACCUUCGUUAAGGAACUCGGCAAAUUAACCCCGUAACUUCGGGAGAAGGGGUGCCCCUAUGAGUGAUAGUUUACUAGAGCUCUCGGGGGUCGCAGUGACCAGGCUCUGAUGACUGGUUAACAAAACCACAGGUCUCUGCUAAGUCGAAAGACGAUGUAUAGGGGCUGACACCUGCCCAGUGCCGGAAGGUUAAAGGGAGAGGUUAGACGCAAGUCGAAGCUUUGAACUGAAGCCCCGGUGAACGGCGGCCGUAACUAUAACGGUCCUAAGGUAGCGAAAUUCCUUGUCGGGUAAGUUCC
rnacentral:rRNA from 1 species